CUCAGGAUGAACGCUGGCGGCGUUGCUUACACAUGCAAGUCGAGCGAAGCACUUAAGCGGAUCUCUUCGGAUUGAAACUUAUUUGACUGAGCGGCGGACGGGUGAGUAACGCGUGGGUAACCUGCCUCAUACAGGGGGAUAACAGUUAGAAAUGGCUGCUAAUACCGCAUAAGCGCACAGGACCGCAUGGUCUGGUGUGAAAAACUCCGGUGGUAUGAGAUGGACCCGCGUCUGAUUAGCUAGUUGGAGGGGUAACGGCCCACCAAGGCGACGAUCAGUAGCCGGCCUGAGAGGGUGAACGGCCACAUUGGGACUGAGACACGGCCCAGACUCCUACGGGAGGCAGCAGUGGGGAAUAUUGCACAAUGGGGGAAACCCUGAUGCAGCGACGCCGCGUGAAGGAAGAAGUAU
rnacentral:rRNA from 1 species